rnacentral:rRNA from 1 species
AGUGAACGCUGGCGGUAGGCCUAACACAUGCAAGUCGAACGGCAGCACAGUAAGAGCUUGCUCUUACGGGUGGCGAGUGGCGGACGGGUGAGGAAUACAUCGGAAUCUACUUUUUCGUGGGGGAUAACGUAGGGAAACUUACGCUAAUACCGCAUACGACCUACGGGUGAAAGCAGGGGAUCUUCGGACCUUGCGCGAUUGAAUGAGCCGAUGUCGGAUUAGCUAGUUGGCGGGGUAAAGGCCCACCAAGGCGACGAUCCGUAGCUGGUCUGAGAGGAUGAUCAGCCACACUGGAAAUGAGACACGGUCCAGACUCCUACGGGAGGCAGCAGUGGGGAAUAUUGGACAAUGGGCGCAAGCCUGAUCCAGCCAUACCGCGUGGGUGAAGAAGGCAUUCGGGUUGUAAAGCCCUUUUGUUGGGAAAGAAAAGCAGCAGGUUAAUACCCCGCUGUUCUGACGGUACCCAAAGAAUAAGCACCGGCUAACUUCGUG